AUUGAACGCUGGCGGCAUGCUUUACACAUGCAAGUCGAACGGUAACAGGGUGCUUGCACCGCUGACGAGUGGCGAACGGGUGAGUAAUGCGUCGGAACGUGCCGAGUAGUGGGGGAUAACGCAGCGAAAGUUGUGCUAAUACCGCAUACGUACUGAGGUAGAAAGUGGGGGACCUUCGGGCAUACAGCUAUUCGAGCGGCCGACGUCUGAUUAGUCAGUAGGUGGGGUAAAGGCUCACCCAGGCGCCGAUCAGUAGCGGGUCUGAGCGAAUGAUCCGCGACACUGGGACUGAGACACGGCCCAGACUCCUACGGGAGGCAGCAGUGGGGAAUUUUGGACAAUGGGCGAAAGCCUGAUCCAGCCAUGCCGCGUGUCUGAAGAAGGCCUUCGGGUUGUAAAGGACUUUUGUCGGGGAGGAAAUUCCCAGCGUUUAUACCGCUGGGGGAUGACAGUACCUGAAGAAUAAGCACCGGCUAACUACGUGCCAGCAGCCGCAGUAA
rnacentral:rRNA from 1 species